UAGCCACCUAAGCUAUAUCUUAGGGCAGAGUAAGCACAGCUUGAUCAUAUAAUCUGGAAACCAGAAUUAUGUUAGCCUCAUAAAGUAUUUCCAAGUACAAAGAGUUCAUUUUCUUUGAUAAAACAAAGGAGAGAUACAGUAAUCUUAUAGCCAAGGCAAGCCUUUGGAUAUAAGAUUUUUAAAAGCUUGGAGAAAAUUAUUUUAUUAUAAUAAAAUCAAUUAUUGAGAUCCACUGUAUUUAUGUCACUUCUUUUAGAGUUACAUAGAAAUUUUAAGUAGAAUAAUUUUGAAGCAAAAAUGUUUUUCCCUCAGAUGUGGGACAUGAUUCAGCAUUUGAUACUUAAAUUUCCUUUGAAAUGUUGCAGAGACAAACUGUACUCAAACUCAAAUAAGAGCAAUUUCCAUUAUUACAUACCAAUCCUGGAAAUGUGUGUGAGAAUGACAACUUCAAUCACCACCACAUCAGUUUGCCUUCCUUGUCGAUUUCUUAGUAA
rnacentral:lncRNA from 1 species